rnacentral:lncRNA from 1 species
AAUUACAUUACAAAAUAUACCACAGCCCAAUAUCUUUAAUAAUACAAUAGUAAUUAUCUCUGAUAAUACUAUAAGUAUCACACAAACACAUUAUGAGAACUUCGUUAGGUGUCCAGAUGCAUUCUGAUUGUUGCAUUUGAUAAUGUUGCAAGAACUUAAGUCUCAAAGACUUGGAAUCUCUGUAAAACUAGACAGUAUUUUUACAGAAAAUGCAGGAGAGAAGUAAAAUGAACAAAUGGCAAGUUUAUCUCACAUAGAAGAGUUAUAAAAUCAUUAAGCAAGUAAAAGGUUAUUCAGCUAAUUGGCUAAUAGCCAGCAAGAAUUUCACAACACAAUCAGCAGGGUGUUGAAAUAUUAAAAAAACCCAGCAACCAAAUGCUCAGUUUCGGAGAAGGACUCUUAUUUAAGAAACACUUUCUUAAGUAUUGCUUAGAUAAGGAGCUGUUUAUCAGCAUGUGUGUAUGCUCUUCCUAGAAUCAAGGUCCAUGCCAGUUUUUUCACAUACUAACACUCUCUUGGUGUUUUGUGAUUUCUCCUUACUGAAGCACCAGGAACACAGGACAAGUGAAGACAGGGAAAAAUCUCGUAAGCACAUGGAUGGAUAUGAACACGUGAAAGCAGCAGCACAUGGAAAAGAAAGGAUGGACUAUUGUCUGUUACUGACAAAAAAAUGCCACUGGCCCUGCAAUAUUCAGGCAAAUGACGAAAGGUUGCACAGCAGUUUAGAAACAACAUUAUUUUUGUUCUACUGGCAUUUUUCAGAUUUAGCAAGAAGUCAUGAGAUCUUCAGAGAGUCAGUAAAUUUCCACGCUUGGUUUCUGUUCUUCACCCCCUCUUGUGGCAAACCUGGCUGA